rnacentral:rRNA from 1 species
UACGAAGGGGGCUAGCGUUGUUCGGAAUCACUGGGCGUAAAGGGCGCGUAGGCGGCUUUAUAAGUCGGGGGUGAAAGCCUGUGGCUCAACCACAGAAUUGCCUUCGAUACUGUAGGGCUUGAGACCGGAAGAGGUUAGUGGAACUGCGAGUGUAGAGGUGAAACUCGUAGAUAUUCGCAAGAACACCAGUGGCGAAGGCGGCUAACUGGUCCGGUUCUGACGCUGAGGCGCGAAAGCGUGGGGAGCAAACAGG